GAUGAAGAACGUAGCGAAAUGCGAUAAGUAAUGUGAAUUGCAGAGUUCAGUGAAUCAUCGAAUCUUUGAACGCACAUUGCGCCCCCUGGUAUUCCGGGGGGCAUGCCUGUCCGAGCGUCAUUGCAACCUUCAAGCGCGGCUUGUGUGUUGGGUCUCGUCCCCCGUGGACGGGCCCGAAAGGCAGUGGCGGCGUCCCGACAUGGUGCCCGAGCGUAUGGGAAUCCUCUUCCGCUCGAAUCGGCCCAUGCGGCGCUGGUCGUAACCAAAUUUUUUACCGGUUGACCUCGGAUCAGGUAGGGAUACCCGCUGAACUUAAGCAUAUCAAUAAGCGGAGGA
rnacentral:misc_RNA from 1 species